rnacentral:rRNA from 1 species
GAAAAGAAACUAACAAGGAUUCCCCUAGUAACGGCGAGUGAAGCGGGAUGAGCUCAAGCUUAAAAUCUCUGUGCAAGUUUUGCAUGGCGAAUUGUAGUCUAUAGAGGCGAUGUCAGUGCAGCUAUUCGGGGUAAGUUCCUUGGAAGAGGACAGCAUCGAGGGUGAUACUCCCGUUUGUACCUGAGUAGCUUGCGCGUACGACACGUUUUCUUCGAGUCGCGUUGUUUGGGACUGCAGCGCAAAGUAGGUGGUAAAUUCCAUCUAAAGCUAAAUAUUGGUGCGAGACCGAUAGCGAACAAGUACCGUGAGGGAAAGAUGAAAAGAACUUUGAAAAGAGAGUUAAAGAGUACCUGAAACUGCUGAAAGGGAAGCGAAUCGUAUCCAGUGUCUAUAAUCCGUGGCAUAUUUCAUUGGCGAGUGUGUGCGUGCGAUGCGUAAGAAGUAGCUUGCUGCUCUUUGUGUUGUUCUGCGCUUGCUUGCUGGUGCCCUGUGUCGUGGUGGGACGUCAGAGUCAGUUCGUAUGCUGCGGGAAAUGGCUAUCGAGGAGGUAGGUCAGGAGCUUGCUCUUGGCUGUUAUAUCUUGGUAUGCUAGUGGUCGUGGUUGGGACUGAGGUGCCUACAACGUGCUCUAAAGUCUUGCGGUGUCUUAUUUGGUUACCUGUUUGGAUAGCUUGCUAUGCUUAUGGCCUAAUCGAGUGAUGGACACUGUAGGUAACUUUUGCCGUUCGGGACUUUGACGAAAUGGAGCGAUUCGGC